UUUUCAAUGUGUGACAAUUGGCAUCUGUGGAAAUAAAAAAAUGAAUUGCGCAUCAAGGAGUAAACCUUAGGCUGCAUUUUCGCAAAAAGACGCUGGUCAUAUCGCACACAUUGUAAAACUGUACAAUGCGUACGUCGAAAGAAAUAGAAAAGAAAUUCAUGUCAGUCUUCACCGAGGCUAGGCCUAGCUUAUGCCGCAAGCGUUCUCAGCCUUCACCAGCAGAUUAGAAUCUUCUUAGAUUUGGGUCUAUGUUCCACUUGUGAAUAUUUCAAUUGGUAGAAAAAGAAAAUCCUGGCGUGGGGCAAAAUACUUUCCGUUUCUCUUAUUAUUUGUGAACUACUCUCCGUGUAAUCUUGAUCGUUAUAGCCUUUAAUUUAGAUACAACCACGCCAAGUGAUUAAUCCUAUGAUCUAUGAUGCCAAGAUUCUGUCUGGGUAGAUCCCAUAUAUCACAUAUGAAAUCUAUUUACCCCCCCAAUUCUAAUAAUUUCAUGCUUGUAUAUUCAUAAUCAUGGUAUUGAUUUUUACUGUAAUUGUACCUUUAACCCUCUUUUGUCUAUAUUGUGGUUGUUGUCGUCUCCCCUGCCCUGAUCAGCCUUUGAGACCAGUAUGUGACUUGUUUGUAAUCCAAGGGAUGGGAGGGGGGAGUUAGUGGGGUGGUGCUAAUGGCAUGCAGACUACUGAAGCCUGAUCACACUCACACAUUACUCCCACCCCAGCACCAAACUGACUCUCCCUCCUUUUUUUCCUAGGCUGCAGUGCUUCAGACAAAGACAUUCGUACACACACACACACACACACACACACACACAUGCAUGCACACACUCACAUACAUUUAAAUGCCUUCAUAAUUUUACAUGUAGAUGCUGUGGUUCUCAUCCUAUUUGGCUUUACUUGCCCCUUUUAUUAUUAUGAGAGACAUUUUAAAUCAAAAUACAAAAAAAAUUCUCUGUCUUUUAAUGGGGCACUGCCGAACAGAGAAGGACUUACUGGAUGUCCUGUGUCCCAGUUUGCACCUUCGUAUCCGGGCGACGAUUGCCGUCUGUUGUUGCUAAAUUAUUACAACAUCUAGCUAGCAGUGGGUGGUAGCAUAGCAUUAGAAUCCCAUUAACCCUUAGUGAGAACCGAUACAGGAAUGGGUCGACUCGGCUAGACUUUAUGAUGUAGAUGUUAUUAUUAUUAUUUUUAUUUGUUUUUUUUUUAAAAUCCUGCUUUGAGAUCAGAGCCAAUACGAGAAGACAGUGAUUUUUUUUAAAAAAUGUUUUUUUAAUUCAAAUGUCCGCAGUCGUAGUGCUUUUAUAAUGCUCUCUAUGUCAUUUUUUUUAAAGACAAUAAUCUUUGUUCGUCUCUAAAUCAUCAACUCUAAAAAAAAAAAAAACGUUACUUACAUACUCAUUAUUAACACUUUGCAUGACAAGUAAGCACCAUGUAGAGCACUAUGCUACUGCACACAAUAACUAAACCUCUACUGCAUCAUUGCUUAAUCUAUGCUUUUAAACUUGAAUUUUGCCAACAAAUACAAUUUAUCAAGAUUAAAAGUUAUCUUAAUUUAGCAUGAUUAGUCGAUGUAAGUGCAGAUACUCCUUCAUCCCUAGAUAUGACAAAAAUAGAAAGAGAGAUUUAUGUGUUUCACACCUGGUUUUGUCUGUGACUUAUCCAGAUGAUUCAAUAAUUAAUAUGGAAAAAAAAUGAUUAAGUAAAAUUGUAGUACAAAAGUAUAACUUAAAUUUUAGUCAUUACGGUGCAUCUUGAUGGUGAGUUGCAUUGUGAAAAUUCUCUUGUGUCCUGAUAUCCCUCACCACCUAUAUUUCUUCUGUCCACUUUGAUACCCGAGUAGUUUACAUAUUUAUAGACUUUAAAAAUAAAGAUCUAUAAAGAGAUAGGGUUUGUAUCUAAGAUACCAAAAUAAAGCUUAAGAAGCUAGAGAGGGUAAAAUAGAUUUUACUGAAUGCUAGCCUGUUGCUAGUUCGUCAAACAUACUUGAAAACUACCAAACGUUUUAAAGAUAAUAAACACUCAACAUAUCUAAUUGUUGUGUCAGACUAAGAAAGUUAAUUUCUGUUAUAGUAACAAGGAGUGAUUGCUUUUAGGAGGUGGAUCACAUUAAAAUGCAAUCUUAAGUAAGGUCAUCCGAUCCAGGAGAUAUUCCCUUGCUAUUCUAGUUGCAGUCAUCAUGCAUCAAACUGUAGUCCUGGUGGGGGUGAUUGACUGUAACCUAAGCUAAUGCUAUAUUGGACUUGGUUAUCCUGGGAAAGAGAUUACCAAGCUAACUUUAGUCAUACCUCAUUUAUCUUCGAAAAAGCAGAUCUCCCAGCAUGUCUUCUAGGCAUUUGCAACUUUCCGCACCAAAAGAAUCACUUUUUAUUUUAUUGGCAAAUCAAAUUCUUAUUGACGUCAGAUUCAGAAAAAUGAUGCGAGAGAGCAAUGUGUGAUAUUUUAGCUACUAUAGUAAUACUACAAGUUGUAGUAAUGCUGGUUUGAUAUAUCCGGGUAACUCUGGUCAGGACCCACAGGUUGCAGACGCCUGGUGUAGACCAUUGACUGUAUACAAAAAAAAAAAAAAAAUGAGUUCAGGUUGUCUUUUUCAAAAGACAAAAAUGUAGUUUUUGUGAAUUCCAAUCUGAUUUAAUUAUGAUCACAAUGUCUUUAAAAAGGCCAAAGAUUGGCCUAGCUGUUUGAGACUAGUUGUUGAGACUGUGCGAUACUGUCAGAGAAAGAGAGAUGUUAUUUUCCUCGCAGCUUUACUGUAGAUCCGUCUUGGCUCAAAAUGUAUCACCAACAUGAAACAGUGGGAAAUUGCUUUAUAGCUGGUACUUAAGUUGCAGUCGCAGAGUUGUUACAAGUAACGGUACAGGUAACCUGUGGUUGUCUGUCUGGCUGGUGAUUUUUAGAUAAGAGAAGCUGUUUUUACCACAUCCAAUAGUGUUUCUUGGGCCUUUACUUUU